rnacentral:misc_RNA from 1 species
GCGUGAGCUUCGAGGCGCAUCUCAAAGACUCAGAGGGAGUCCUCGUGCUUCGGUGCAUAACAGUGACUGAUGAAUUUAUAGUUUAAAAUGUUGAUUUCGAACGGAAGUGGUUUGAGUGCGGCCGGAAACGACUUUUCUAGUGUGGCAGCCCUGUCGGGGUGUUGUCCUGUUCCUGUCACUCCUGCGGCUCGUUCCGCGAUCGUCAACUGGAAAAUGGAUUCCGUCGGACUGGCGGCCCCGAAUACGGCGCCCAACGUACUGCCACCGACGGCCUUGCCUCUGUCCCCCACAGUGUCAUCAUCGUCUGCCGCUAUCCCUAGUUCAGUAUCUGCCCCAUCGUCGGCAUCAAUACCGACGUCCCUCGGUCCUGCUGCUCUUCGGGAGUUGUACGGUAAUAGCGCAGCGACUCCUGGUCAUCCCUUAGCAUCUUUAGUAUCUCAACAACGGUUCCUGGAAUUAUCCAGGUUCGGACUAAGGCACUACGAUUUAGCUCAGCAUAUGCUCACGCAACAGGGAGCAGUGACGAAGCUGCUGGGAACUCUGAGGCCGCCAGGAUUGAUAGGAGGCAGUAAGCCAAAAGUAGCCACUCCUGCAGUGGUAUCAAAAAUCGAACAGUACAAACGGGAAAAUCCUACGAUAUUUGCCUGGGAAAUUAGGGAGCGACUGAUAUCUGAAGGAGUCUGCACCAACGCUACAGCUCCUUCAGUAAGCAGCAUCAACAGAAUUCUCCGCAACCGAGCAGCAGAACGCGCUGCUGCCGAGUUUGCCCGGGCAGCUGGUUAUGGUCUCUACCACCCGCAUCCCUAUGCCACGGCUGGAUUCCCAUGGCACUCUCCCCUCUGGCCUAAUGGUCCUCUUGGUUUACCUGGUCCUCCUGGAUCGGGGAAUCCCACUGUAAUGUCCGCCUCCCCCGUUUCCUCUGGCUCGCCGCAUCCAGACAGCGGACUUUUGAGUUCGCCUCCAGGAACAAAUUUAGAUAAGGAUGAUUCUAGUCUCGAUAGUUCAGAACAACCGAAAUUUAGACGAAAUCGAACGACUUUUAGUCCGGAUCAGUUAGAGGAACUAGAAAAGGAGUUUGAGAAAAGUCAUUAUCCGUGUGUUUCGACGAGGGAACGGUUAGCAUCCAAGACGUCGCUUUCUGAGGCUAGAGUUCAGACGGGCCAAAUGGAGACGACAUCAGCGGAUGAAUCUCCUGAAGCAGUCCGACGGUCCGGGAGGUGGACCUCAAGGAGCUCCCUCGAGUCAGUCUUCAAUGUUUGGCGCCCGUCUGACCCCCUCCCCUCACUACAAGGGCGGUUCCACCCCUGGGUCACCGCUUACUACCCAUCUCACCCCACAUUCCGCGGCUUCGUCCCUGCUCCUGGGAAUGGGAGGAGAAAAUAGCGCCUUCAAAGCUUUGGUACCGAAUGCUUUAAUGUCUGAGAGGUUAAGAAGACUAAGCGACUACGCCUCUGACUCCGAGGAAGAGAUAAACGUCAACGACGAAUCGGACUUGGAGGAGCCCAUGGAGAGGAUAUCUCGAUCUUCGAGCCCCGUAGAAGUCGUGGAUGUACU